rnacentral:rRNA from 1 species
AACGAACGCUGGCGGCAGGCCUAACACAUGCAAGUCGAGCGCGCCCUUCGGGGUGAGCGGCGGACGGGUGAGUAACGCGUGGGAACGUGCCCUUUUCUACGGAAUAGCCUCGGGAAACUGAGAGUAAUACCGUAUACGCCCUUUGGGGGAAAGAUUUAUCGGAAAAGGAUCGGCCCGCGUUGGAUUAGGUAGUUGGUGGGAUAAUGGCCUACCAAGCCGACGAUCCAUAGCUGGUUUGAGAGGAUGAUCAGCCACACUGGGACUGAGACACGGCCCAGACUCCUACGGGAGGCAGCAGUGGGGGAUCUUAGACAAUGGGGGCGAACCUGAUCUAUCCAUGCCGCGUGAGUGAUGAAGGGCUUAGGGUUGUAAAGCUCUUUCAGCUGGGAAGAUAAUGACGGUACCAGCAGAAGAAGCCCCGGCUAACUCCGUG